AGUCGAGGAUCUUCGGCAAUGGGCGCAAGCCUGACCGAGCGACGCCGCGUGUGCGAUGAAGGCCUUCGGGUUGUAAAGCACUGUCGAGGGGGAGGAAGCCGCAAGGUUGACCUAUCCCUGGAGGAAGCACGGGCUAAGUUCGUGCCAGCAGCCGCGGUAAGACGAACCGUGCGAACGUUGUUCGGAAUCACUGGGCUUAAAGGGCGCGUAGGCGGACCCCCAAGUCCGGGGUGAAAUCCUCCGGCUUAACCGGAGAAUUGCCUGGGAUACUGGGGGUCUUGAGGGAGGUAGGGGCACGCGGAACUUCCGGUGGAGCGGUGAAAUGCGUUGAUAUCGGAAGGAACGCCGGUGGCGAAAGCGGCGUGCUGGCCCUCUUCUGACGCUGAGGCGCGAAAGCCAGGGGAGCGAACGGGAUUAGAUACCCCGGUAGUCCUGGCCCUAAACGAUGGGUACUAGGUAGUGGACUUGACAUGGGUUCACUGCCGGAGCAAAAGUGUUAAGUACCCCGCCUGGGGAGUAUGGUCGCAAGGCUGAAACUCAAAGGAAUUGACGGGGGCUCACACAAGCGGUGGAGCAUGUGGCUUAAUUCGAGGCUACGCGAAGAACCUUAUCCUGGACUUGACAUGUGCGAAAGCGGUAGGAAGUAGCUGCCGGAAACGGCCAGCCAACGGUAUCCAAUCCGGAACCUACUACAGGUGCUGCAUGGCUGUCGUCAGCUCGUGUCGUGAGAUGUUGGGUUAAGUCCCGUAACGAGCGAAACCCUUGUCUCCAGUUGCCAGCGGGUAAUGCCGGGGACUCUGGAGAGACUGCCGGUGUCAAACCGGAGGAAGGCGGGGAUGACGUCAAGUCCUCAUGGCCUUUAUGUCCAGGGCUGCACACGUGCUACAAUGGCGUUUACAGAGGGACGCAAACUCGCGAGAGGGAGCUAAUCCCAAAAAACACGCCCCAGUUCAGAUCGAAGGCUGCAACUCGCCUUCGUGAAGCCGGAAUCGCUAGUAAUCGCGGGUCAGCAACACCGCGGUGAAUGUGUUCCUGGGCC
rnacentral:rRNA from 1 species